AACGAACGCUGGCGGCAUGCCUAACACAUGCAAGUCGAACGAGACCUUCGGGUCUAGUGGCGCACGGGUGCGUAACGCGUGGGAACCUGCCCUUAGGUUCGGAAUAACUCCCCGUAAGGGGUGCUAAUACCGGAUAAUGUCUUCGGACCAAAGAUUUAUCGCCUUUGGAUGGGCACGCGUUGGAUUAGCUAGUUGGUAGGGUAAAAGCCUACCAAGGCGACGAUCCAUAGCUGGUCUGAGAGGAUGAUCAGCCACACUGGGACUGAGACACGGCCCAGACUCCUACGGGAGGCAGCAGUGGGGAAUAUUGGACAAUGGGCGAAAGCCUGAUCCAGCAAUGCCGCGUGAGUGAUGAAGGCCUUAGGGUUGUAAAGCUCUUUUACCCGGGAUGAUAAUGACAGUACCGGGAGAAUAAGCUCCGGCUAACUCCGUG
rnacentral:rRNA from 1 species